CCCGCAGCCCUUCCGCGGGCGCCGGGCGGGUGAGGAGCGUCGCGUCGCGUGCGGUCCCGCGCCACCCGGGUCCAUCUGCCGCAAUCCUCAGACAUCCGCAGCCCCCCGCGCCGUAGCUCGCGGCGUCCGGGGUGAUUACGGGCUGCCUCUGUCCUGGUCAUUGGUAACACAGGCUGAGGAGAAGCUGCAAGGUUUUCUUGAUGUUCACAGGUUCCAAAAUGGGACAGCCUGAGGUGACGGAGCACGACGAGGAGGGUCUCAUGACUGCUGUCCCACAUAUGUGAGAGGUGACCUCCGGGAGAAGCUGGAUCGGGAGGUCCCAGGUGGGUCUGCACUUGCAGAGGCACCACGAGAGGUGUCAUCUCUUCAGCUGGGCACGAGACCAUGGGGCCCAAGAUUUAUUUUAGAGAGAGAGCGCGCGUGCAUGCAGUGGGAAGGAGCAGAUGGAGAAGAGAGAGAGAGACUCUCAAGCAGACUCCACACUGAGCACAGAGCCCCCAACAUGGGCACGUUCCCACAACCUGUGAGAUCAUGACUUGAGCUGAAACCCGAAUUGGGCACUUAACCAACUGAGCCACCCAGAUCAGCCUUAGAUCUGGAGGCUGCUGAAGUAAGUCCCCAGGCCAUAAUGAGUCCGUGACCCUUGGGAUGACUUGGGAUCUGAAUUUGCUAAUCUGUCUCCCCAAGAUUCUCUUGGCAUUAUUGGACAUCAGAAGAGCAGAGGAUGGAGGAGUCCUCCCCAGAGGAUGGAGGAAGCAUCCCCAGAGUACCCCCUGCUGUUACUCAGCUCAUUAUGAACCAACUCUUCCUUCCACACAGGAGAUCGGAGGGAAAUCCCUGGGGCUGGGGCUGGCGUCCACUUCAGCUGGCUCGGAAUCUUGACAUCAGUGCCCUGAGAAUCCGUGGACUGGGAAGGCCAGCCCCGUGUCCCUCUGCUGUGCCUGGAAUGACUUUAAUGACCAAGAGUUUUUCUUCUGAAUUGUAGCAGCUCAUCACUUUACUCUCAGCGCACCCAUUUCAGUAAGCCUUACAGACUCACUGUGGCUGCCUUUUUUUUUUUUUUUUUUUUUUUUUUUUUUGUGGCUGCCUUUUAAGUUCGUAACAAUCUGUGCCUCUGAGGCUGAAUGUGAAGAAGUGGAUCACAGCCAGCUUAUUUUCACCCCUGAGCCUCUCCUGUCACCAUCCUGAGGCUUGGCAUGCAGGCUGCAGUCUGAGGUGUUCUGUUAGGACUAGAAGGUGAGGGCACCUGGGUGGCUCAGUGAUUGAGCAUCUGCCUUUGGCUCAGGUCGUGAUCCGGGGUCUUGGGAUCGAGUCCCGUAUUGGGCUCCCCACAGGGAGCCUGCUUCUCCCUCUGCCUAUGUCUCUGCAUCCCUCUCUGUGUGUCUCUCAUGAAUAAAUAAAAUCUUUAAAAAAAAAAGUAAAGGUAGUAACAAUACAAACAGGUUUGAAAAAAUCCCUAUGCUUGGGAAAUUUUAAAACAUGGUUUAAAAUAAUCUCAUCAGGGACCCUUGGUUGGUUAAGGCAUUGGACUCUUGGUUUGAGCUCAGGUCUGAUCUCAGGGUUAUGAGAUCCAGCCCCGAGUCAGGCUCUCUGUUCAUUGUGGAGUCUGCAUGAAUUUCUGCCCCUCCCCACUUGCGCGCGCUCUUCUCUCUUAAAAUCUUAAAAACAAAACAAAAGCCUAGUAGAAGAUGAUACCAUAAGGGGAAUUAGAAAUAUUAACAACUGAAUUGAAAAUUUUUGCAUACCAAAGUUUGAGAUGUAGCUCAAGUAAUUCCUAAGGAGAAAAUUAUGCCUCUUAGGGCUUAAAAUAGAAAAAAGACAGAAAUUUAAUAACAAAACAAGUAAUGAGAAUAAAAAUUAGAGCAGAUUACUUUUUUGUCUAUAAAAGUUUAUACUUUGACAAAAUGAACAAACAUUAAAAUUGCCUCAAAAUGGAAAACUUUAAUAAAGACUGCAGGGGGGAGAGCUCAACAAGGUGAUUUAUUCACAUCUUGCAACAUGAACUUUUGGUCACUAUUAGAGCUGUGCUUUUCUGACAAAUCUUGGAUCUGCCCCUGAAUUAAUAUAUAAUGAUCCAAACAUAUGGCUCAUUGUUGGGGAAAAUUGAGGUCUAUUUGAAGGGGGUACAGGGGUCUUUGAGGCUUUGGCUUCACACUGUCAAGUUUGGUCAGAAUCCAGCUGUAGAUAGGUCAUGAAUGAGAAACAUCAUUGAUGAGGCUUUUAGAAUUUUCCCACCAGUCCUGAAGUUUGCACCUCUACUAAGACAGUAAGACUAAACAGCAAUGAGCAUGGAAGAGAGUGAAAGCCUCUUGAGGAAUUUCUGAGGAUGUAGUGAAGGAUAAAUGACUGAAAACACAUGAACUGUGAAGACAUUGAUAAAGUAGGAGCUGUGACCUCACUGAUUGACAAGGAUGUUGAAAUCUUAAAAUCCCUAGACCAUUUUUUUAAAAAAUUUAUUUAUAAGAGACACACAGGCAGAGGGAGAAGCAGGCUCCAUGCAGGAAGCCUGACUCAGAACUCGAUCCUGGGACUCCAGGAUCAGGCCCCGAGCUGAAGGCAGACGCUUAGCCCCUCAGCCACCAGGUGUCCCUAAACCUUUUUUUUUUUUUUUUAAAAGACUUUACUCAUGGGGAUCCCUGGGUGGCUCCGCAGUUUAGCACCUGCCUUUGGCCCAGGGAGCGAUCCUGGAGUCCCGGAAUCGAGUCCCACGUCCAGCUCUCAUGUUGGGUUCCCGGCAUGGAGCCUGCUUCUCCCUCUUCCUGUGUCUCUGCCCCCUCUCUCUCUAUGUCUAUCAUAAGUAAGUUAAAAAAAAAAAAAAAAAAAAAGACUUACUUGAGAGACACAGAGAGAGGCGGAGACAUAGGCAGAGGGAGAAGCAGGCUUUGUGCAGGAGCCUGAUGUGGGACUUGAUUCCAGGACCCUGGGAUCACAACCAGAGCCAAAGGCAGAUCUUCAAAGCAACUGAGCUACCUAGGCAUCCUGGUCUUUAGACCAUUCUGUACCGGUAUUUUUGCUUGGACAGGAGUCUGUUUCUUUGAACCUGAAAAGUAUAAAAUUAUUCAAAUGUUUUUAUAUUAAUAGAAUCUCUAUGUAAUUAACUCCGAAAGAUGGAACUUCAUUUGUCAGUGUUGUGUUUUUUAACCUAAAUUUGGUAAACAAAGAGCUCUCACAAAUUUUGAAUUAAUUGAAACCUAGAGAAUGCUAACAUCUAAUUGUAUCUUUUACACUUUCUUAAGGUGAAAGGGCAAAUCUGUUGUGUUACCUGGUGGCCAUUCAAGGAAACCCAGAGAUACCUUAGGACUAAAAGACAUUUUAACCAUCUGAUUCUGAAUUUGGGAAAGGAAAAGGCAACAACUGUCAGAGGACAAACGAACACUUCACAAUUUUCAAAUAUAAGAAAAAGUUACUGCAAGAUGAUUUUAAAAACCACAGCAAAAAGUACAUAGCUGUUAGAAACUUAAUUUUUUUUUUUUUUUAAAUAAGGAACUUUUGUUGAGACAAAUCAAGAGUAUGCCAGGUAGCAUCCAGAUGGCCAACAGACACAUAAAGACAUGCUCAACAUCACUCAGCAUCAGGGAACUGCAAAUCAAAGCCACAAUGAAAUAUCACCUCAUAUGAGUCAGAAGGGCUAGUAUAAAAAAAUUAAGUCUUGUAGAUGUGGAGAAAAAGGAACCCUUGUGCACUGUUGGUGGGAAUGUAAAUUGGUGCGACUGCUAUGGAAAGCAGUAUGCAAGUUAAAAAAAAAAAAAACUACCGCAUGAUCAGUAAUUCCACUAUAGGAUAUUUACUCAAAUAAAAACACUAAUUCAGGAAUAUAGAGCCACCCCUAUUGUUUACUGUAGCAUUACUUAAAAUAACCAAAUACGGAAGCAACCCAAUUGUCCAUCCACAGAUGAAUGGAUAAAAAUGUGUGUGUAUAUACAUGUGUAUAUAUACAUAUAUAUGUAUAUACACACACAGAAUGGAACAGUACUCAGUCGUAAGAAACUGAAAGCCUGCUACUUGCAACAACAUGGAUGGAUCUAGAGGGUAUGGUGCUAAGUGAAAUCCACGAGAGAAAAGUGAUUUCAGUCGUGGAAUUUAAAAAAACGAAACCACCAAAAAAAGACCAAAGCAGAUUUUUAACUAUAGAGAACAAACUGGUGGUUGCCAGACAGCAGGUGAGAGGGGAUGGGUGAAAUAGGUGAAGAGGAUUAAGAGUACUUUUUCUGGGCAGCCCCAGUGACGCAGUGGUUUAGCGCCACCUUCGGUCCAGGGUGUGAUCCUGGGGUCCUGGGAUUGAGUCCCGUUUUGGGCUUCCUGCAUGGAGCCUGUUUCCCCUCUGCCUGUGUCUCUGUCUCUCAUGAAUAAAUAAUAUAAAUAAAAUGUUUUUAAAAAGUACAUUUUCCGUGAUGGAGCACUGAGUUAGAUAUAGUAUAGAAUUGUUGAAUCAGUAGACAUUGUGCACCUGAGCUAAUAUAACAUGUCAGUUACACUGGAAUUUUAAAGUAUCUGGGAACAGAAUAACAAACAUUUUUUUAAACAAAAAAACCCCUAAAUUCUAGUUUUAUUUCUGUGUGUGUUUCAACCAUGCAACAGUGUGCAGUAAAGGAUUUAUAAACCUACCUUUUUUUUUAAAAAAAGGAUUUUAUUUACUCAUGAGAGACACAAAGAGAGGCAGAGGGAGAAGCAGGCUCCCUGUGGGGAGUCUGAUGUGGGACUCGAUCGCAGGAUUCCAGGACUGUGGGAUCAUGACCUGAGCCAAAGGCAGAUGCUCAACCACUGAGCUACCCAGAUGCCCCUAUGCCCCUAUGAACCUUUCUUAUGAAUAAACAUUGAGCCAACUUUGUCAAAGUUUUUAUUUUUUAUUUUUGUCAAAGUUUUUUUUUAAAGGAAUUUUUUAAAGCAUUUUAUUUUUUUUAAUUUUUAUUUAUUUAUGAUCGUCAGAGAGAGAGAGAGAGAGAGAGAGAGAGGCAGGCUCCAUGCACCGGGAGCCUGACGUGGGAUUCGAUCCGGGUCUCCAGGAUCGCGCCCUGGGCCAAAGGCAGGCGCUAAACCGCUGCGCCACCCAGGGAUCCCUUGUCAAAGUUUUUAAUACGGGUUUAUGUUUUUUAGGAACAUGGUAGUAUAACUCAAGUCAAAAAACUUGUUAAUAAGUUUGUACACUUACAGUAUAAUUUAUUAUUUUUGUUUAGAGACUAAAAAAUGAAUCUUAUUUUCAAAAUAAAAUUUUAUGAACAUAUUACAUAAAAAGUCUUAUA